AUCGACGUAGUUUGAUCCGUGGCUCAGAGCGAACGUUUGCGGCGGGCCUAACACAUGCAAGUCGAACGGGCUAGCAAUAGUCAGUGGCGCACGGGUGCGUAUCACGUAGGUCAUCAACCUCUUGGUUCGGGAUAACGUUCUGAAAGGAACGCUAAUACCGGAUGUGUUCCGAAAGGAAGAAAGACCCGCAAGGGUUGCCAUAAGACGAGCCUGCGGCCCAUCAGCUAGUUGGUGAGGUAAUGGCUCACCAAGGCGAAGACGGGUAACUGGUCUGAGAGGAUGAUCAGUCACACUGGAACUGAGACACGGUCCAGACUCCUACGGGAGGCAGCAGUGGGGAAUAUUGCGCAAUGGGCGAAAGCCUGACGCAGCCACGCCGCGUGAGCGAUGAAGGACUUCGGUUCGUAAAGCUCUGUGGGGAGAGACGAAGAAAGCCCGUGAAGAGCGGGCCUUGACGGUAUCUCCUUAGCAAGCACCGGCUAACUCCGUG
rnacentral:rRNA from 1 species